GUUCGUUCCAUAAAUUUUGGUCGAAGCUUCUUUGGAACGUCUUGAAUUUUUUCGGAGCAAAAAAGUUGUUCUACAUAAAACUACUAAAAAAUAUAAAUAUUGUUUUCACCGGUUUAUAGACGUUCAGAUUUCAUUCGACUCUUGCUGCAGAGUACAAUUGGCUUCCUUACCCGUAUGGUAACCUUUGGAGUCAACAUAUUAUUUUGGGGUUGAAAAUGACAUCAUCUUGAUAACGCGCAUGCGCAGAUCAUUGGUUAUUAUGCUGGGAAAAUUAUUGAUUACUGGACAUAUGCAUACAGCGCAGAGAGAGUGGAAAUGUACGCACUUACGGUCGGUAAAAGAUAUUGGCAGCUGAAAAUAAAUAUUUUUUU